rnacentral:rRNA from 1 species
UACGAAGGGGGCUAGCGUUGCUCGGAAUCACUGGGCGUAAAGCGCACGUAGGCGGAUCUUUAAGUCAGGGGUGAAAUCCUGGAGCUCAACUCCAGAACUGCCUUUGAUACUGGGGAUCUCGAGUCCGGGAGAGGUGAGUGGAACUCCGAGUGUAGAGGUGAAAUUCGUAGAUAUUCGGAAGAACACCAGUAGCGAAGGCGGCUCACUGGCCCGGUACUGACGCUGAGGUGCGAAAGCGUGGGGAGCAAACGGG